rnacentral:lncRNA from 1 species
UUCAGGGAAUAUACAGUCUACUCAUAAUCUUUAAUGCUGUCUUGAUCAAAAUUCAUUCAUACGGCAGCUAAAGUUUCCACAACAAAUUUUUCCUCUAUAGGUACUUCCUGCUCCUCCUCAUAAUACAUAUCCACAAUAGAAAAUAUGCUCAUAUUUUUAUGCUAUUUCAUGGAUUGGUAUACAUCAAAUAAAACUACUUCAUCAUUCAACCUGAAUCGUAGCUCAUUUGCCU